CAUUUCACCUCUUCUU
rnacentral:sRNA from 1 species